rnacentral:piRNA from 1 species
UGUCUGUCUAAUGGAAUUUCAUUGAAUAGGA